AUCUAAUCUGAAGCUCUCCAGUGAGAGGGAGUUUAUAGCACUGCUGGCUGGGAAGAACUGAUGCUCAAAAUCCAUAUUUGGUUUUAUUUCCGUCUGGCAGCUCACUGAAGGAAGUGUACUUGGAUGUAAUUUUUCUGCCAUUUUCAGAUCCAAAACGAAGCCUUAGACAAAGGAAAAUGAACUUUUUUGGGGUGAUGAACAUGUUAUGAGAAAAAUGAGCUUUCCUUACUUGCUCCUGUCCCUAGCACGAAAUAUCAGAUAGAAAAUGGAGAAGGUUCCAGUCAAAGACUGCUCUGAGGUGAAACCCAGUGGGAGAUGCCCUCCAUCACUCAAAAUAUUCAGGAUAAAUCAAGCUUGCCCAUGGCCAUGGGAUGUUACCAUGGCCCCUCUUUUCUCUGCUCUUCAUUACACUUGAAAUGAGCAAUCAGGACGUCAUCAUCAGCAAGGUUAUUUUUCUAUCCCUCACUUAAUAUCUUCACUGGUUGCCAAACCUUUGGCUCCAGUGACAUUCCACUGUGUGGGUUUGGUGGCUUCUUGUUGAAGAAUGCUGUGAGUUUUCACAGCA
rnacentral:lncRNA from 12 species